rnacentral:lncRNA from 1 species
AACACAAAGAAAACUCCACCGCAACACCUCAAACAAACAAAAACACAAAUAGAACUCCAAAACCUCACCCUCUCUCUCCCUCUCUCUCCCUCUCUCCCUCUCUCUCUCGCUCUCAUCAUGGACAGCGCACCCACCGUUCUAAACAAACCACCGCCACCUUUCCUCAUGGACAGCGCACCCACCGUUCUAAACAAACCACCGCCACCUUUCCUCAUGGACAGCGUACCCACCUUUCUAAACAAACCACCGCCACCUUUCCCAGCACCGCCUCGGAGCGUCGACUUCUCCGCCCUUGAAUUUAUCCUCGGCCUCAUCGCGGUUAUCACCAUCCCUGCUCUCGUCUACGCCUUCUUCUUCGCCAUCAAGUUCCCUCCAAACCCUUUUCGCCGGCGACCCCACCGG